UGGCCCCCUGGUGGGCGAGAGAGACUGGUCUA
rnacentral:piRNA from 1 species